GUAAACCCAGUGCAGUUUCCACCACACCAUGUGGGCAGAGGAGUUUGUUUCUGGAAAUAAGUAUAAGGGGAAAAGAAAGGGUGCUGUCAUGUUACUUCCAGUUGGAGAUAGUAGUCCAGGUUCCCACUUGACUUCCACUGUCAUCCAAGACUUCAGUCAUGGAGAUACAUUUAUUCCAACUCUCUUUGCCUAGUGUGGAAGAGUACACAACUCAUUGAGAGAGGAUACGCCACCCCACCGUGACCAGUCUUGAAGGCAAAACCAAGGCUUUUUCAGGCUCAUCCUGGUAGAAGAAAAGGCUGAAAAUGAUAUCUCCAAUUUAUUACUGCAUUUGUCUGGGGGCACUUUUCUGAUUGAAAUGACACUAAAUCCACUGGGAAGUAGAAGCUGUGGGCUUCACGAGGAUGCAACCCACACAGCUGUGAUCAAACCUUUGAUCUGUUACCACGACUGUCAAAAUAAACUGAUAUGAAAUAUGAAAAAAA